rnacentral:rRNA from 1 species
UCGUCUAAUAAUAAUUUCCUGCGAUUCGCCUUAGAGUUUGAUCCUGGCUCAGGAUGAACGCUAGCGGCAGGCUUAAUACAUGCAAGUCGAGGGGCAGCAGGACUGUAGCAAUACAGUUGCUGGCGACCGGCAAACGGGUGCGGAACACGUACGCAACCUACCCAUAACUGGUGAAUAGCCCGGGGAAACCCGGAUUAAUACAUCGUAACAUAAUGAAACGGCAUCGUUUUAUUAUUAUAGCUCCGGCGGUUAUGGAUGGGCGUGCGCCUGAUUAGGUAGUUGGCGGAGUAAUAGCCCACCAAGCCUACGAUCAGUAACUGGUGUGAGAGCACGACCAGUCACACGGGCACUGAGACACGGGCCCGACUCCUACGGGAGGCAGCAGUAAGGAAUAUUGGUCAAUGGACGCAAGUCUGAACCAGCCAUGCCGCGUGAAGGAUGAAGGUCCUCUGGAUUGUAAACUUCUUUUAUAUGGGACGAAACCCUCGAUUUCCAUCGGGAUUGACGGUACCAUAGGAAUAAGCACCGGCUAACUCCGUGCCAGCAGCCGCGGUAAUACGGAGGGUGCAAGCGUUAUCCGGAUUCACUGGGUUUAAAGGGUGCGUAGGAGGGCAGGUAAGUCAGUGGUGAAAUCCCCGAGCUUAACUUGGGAACUGCCGUUGAUACUAUCUGUCUUGAAUACCGUGGAGGUGAGCGGAAUAUGUCAUGUAGCGGUGAAAUGCUUAGAUAUGACAUACAACACCAAUUGCGAAAGGCAGCUCGCUACACGAAUAUUGACUCUGAGGCACGAAAGCGUGGGGAUCAAACAGGAUUAGAUACCCUGGUAGUCCACGCCCUAAACGAUGGAUACUCGACUACGCGAUACAAGUGUGUGGUCUGAUCGAAGCAUAAGUAUCCACUUGGCAGUACGACGCUAGCUGAACUCAACGAAUAGCCGGGGGUCCGCACAAGACGGUUGGAGCCAUGUGGUUUAAUUC